UACGUAGGGUGCGAGCGUUGUCCGGAAUUAUUGGGCGUAAAGAGCUCGUAGGCGGCUUGUCGCGUCUGCUGUGAAAUUUCGGGGCUCAACCCCGAACUUGCAGUGGGUACGGGCAGACUAGAGUGUGGUAGGGGAGACUGGAAUUCCUGGUGUAGCGGUGAAAUGCGCAGAUAUCAGGAGGAACACCGAUGGCGAAGGCAGGUCUCUGGGCCACUACUGACGCUGAGAAGCGAAAGCAUGGGGAGCGAACAGG
rnacentral:rRNA from 1 species